rnacentral:rRNA from 1 species
AUUGAACGCUGGCGGCAUGCUUUACACAUGCAAGUCGAACGGCAGCGCGGGCUUCGGCCUGGCGGCGAGUGGCGAACGGGUGAGUAAUGCAUCGGAACGUGCCCAGUAGUGGGGGAUAGCCCGGCGAAAGCCGGAUUAAUACCGCAUACGACCUGAGGGUGAAAGCGGGGGACCGAAAGGCCUCGCGCUAUUGGAGCGGCCGAUGUCGGAUUAGCUAGUUGGUGGGGUAAAGGCUUACCAAGGCGACGAUCCGUAGCUGGUCUGAGAGGACGACCAGCCACACUGGGACUGAGACACGGCCCAGACUCCUACGGGAGGCAGCAGUGGGGAAUUUUGGACAAUGGGGGCAACCCUGAUCCAGCCAUGCCGCGUGAGGGAAGAAGGCCUUCGGGUUGUAAAACGCUUUUGUUCGGGAAGAAAACCUCUGGGCUAAUACCCCGGGGGGAUGACGGUACCGGAAGAAUAAGCACCGGCUAACUACGUG